GACAGGAAACUGGUCCAGACAAUCGAGCGUUAGGUUGACCAUCAACUAAUUUUACGACCUGCAGAUGGUGGAGAGGAGACUCCUAAAUUUCUGCUAAGGAAUGUGCUGUUCUGUUCAAAGGAGAUCCUACAGCGCGCAAAGUUUUAUAUCCUUAACGCCUCAUGGAAAUGGUAUGUCAGAAAUACAGGGGUAAAUUCAGUUACUGUAUAGCUUUGUAAUGUUUUGCAAGACUGUUUCGUACUAAAACUGAUCUGUUAAGGGCAUAUUUUUUCCAAGUAAUUGUCCGCGACAUGCCGAAUCUGACGAUAGGUCCAUCAUUUUAUGUUGAGCAUUUUCGCGUUCUUUUUUCCUCAGGUAGCUGCAUUAGCUAAAACGCUAUGCCCCAUAACGUUAAACCAUGAUAUUACUGGUAUGUAAUAUUAUUUGUUACUUAAAUUUAAUGUUGUUUUAGGAACAAUAAAAUUAGACUUAAUCUCUCGUGGUGUAUGAGGUCCUUCUUCCUCUAUUUUAGUGAAUGCUUGUAUUGCUUUACAGCAAUACGACCAGUAUAAAAAUUAAAUGGGAAUGCACUCUGAUUUUAUUUUUUAAGUGUCGAUUCUGCCCUCCAGAUUGGAGACUAGAUUGACAUAAACGCAGUUCAACAUGAGCCUCUCUUGUUUUCUUUCCUAACACAUGCUUACUCUCAAGCCUAUGUGAUAUCUUAAACACUAUGGAUUAUGGUUACAUUUGUUUUUGUUUUUUGUUUUCAAAUUUUAUCAGAUUUCAUGAGACUUUAGGAAGCUAUAUUCAGAGGCAGACAGAAAACUUUUUGAAGACUGGGCUACAAUUGCAGACCGAAUUCUUGCCGAUGCGAGAUGGAAAGGUGUAUUUAGAGCUGGGUGACAUGACUCCAGAUGCUGAAGGGAGAGUGCUUUCAAAGUCCUGCUCACUCUGCUUCCCCCAAGAAAGGCGGAGAGGUCUUCAGACCCGUAACCACGGAAUCCCAGAAGUCAUUCACUGACGUACAACUUGAGGGGACCAACAUGGUGGAAUAUUUGCAAAAUGCAGAGACCAGGACAAGACAAUGAUAUCCCAGACCUCCGCCAUUGUUUCGGGCCAUGCCAUUGAAAUGGACUCGUUACUUGAGGCUGUUGAUCAUUGUUUCAAGUCCUUUUUCUGUUGAUCUUUGUUUCAAGUCCUUUUUUUUGUGCUUUUAUUAACUACACUAAGCAGUGUCUUUCUACCUGAGAAUUUCUCCAUCAUGCGGUAUAUCAUAUUGAUGGAAAUGAUUCUUCAUGUGUGAAGUUUUUAAAGAAUAGGAAUCUACAGUGCCUAGUUUACACAGUUUUGUGUUUUAAAGAAACUGAUCCACAAAAACUGUUUUAUUUGUGUCUGUACGAGAUGGAUGAAAUGUUUUGCAGUACCCAUUCAAAAAUUGUUUUAAAAAUAAAUGUGAAAACGCAUUAAAUUGAU